UUUUCUGCCGCUCCGCCGAGGAACGACGGGGACGCACACGCUCAUCCUCCUCCUCACACGGUGGCGGUCGCCUGCUCCACUGCUCGCCGGCCUCGAACCGAUCACAUAUACCCCGCGCGGGAUGAUGCCGCGACCAAACCCCAUCCAGCGCAAGACCAAAGGGAGAAGCAGAGGCCCGCUACAUUUUGGUGGAAGGCACGGCGGCCGGCGGAGCGGCAGAGGAGGCUACGCUCCGGCCGGCGUGGGGAGAAAGAUGCAGCGGCGGUCGAUGCGAACAGAGAAGACGACAAGAGCAGGCCUAUCCCCUUCCUCCCAGGGCCUCUCUCAAAUACCGGCCCAAGUUUUAACGAAGAGCGGCAUACGGUCCAAAGCGGGACACGGCGACCGCCGAGCACCAGCCUCGCCCUCGCCGGAGAGAAACGGGGCUCGCCACCGGCUACACCGUAGGCGUGCGUCUCCGGAUGUUCGGGCUCUGCCGGACCUCUUCCUCGCCAACCACCUCCGUCGCGGCUACUCUGAGUUCGUCCACCUCCGCGACGCCUGCCACCUGUUCGACCCAAUGCCGCGGCGGGACCUGUCUCCUGGCGCUGCGCCAUCUCCAUGUACGCGCAGCACUGCCAUCAGUCAGUAACACUCCGCGGCCCUCUUCGUGGCAGGGCGUUCCAAAGGGCGCGCGACGGCAAGGCACUCAACAAGUUCCUGCUCGCCGGCGCCGUAAGGACCUGCGCCGUGAAUCACUUACUGCCAGUCAAAGCUGUUUAAGUGAUACGAAAGAUAAUAUGGCACGGAAGCGAUCUCGUGGCUACCAAGUUCCAAUUUCCUGCUGUGCUGCAUUGCUGCGUGUUCUAAUCUGAGCUCAGGAGAUCAGGAGAAUUCAGCUAAUGUUCCCAACGUCAGCAAUGCGGUUGCAACCUACGCUGAAAACAGCAAGUCAGUCAAAACCAAACAGUUCGAUCAAGUCCUUCUGCUCAAAUGCAUGCAUGCACAGGGUGCUUUUGUCCUGUUUGAUGAUGCCGUGAUGGUGAUCACAUGACCUAUGCCGAACUUAUGGUUUGUUCUUCGUUGAAGAGCUUGGACAGACCGAAAUCGGCAAGUUUUGGGGCCAUGUUUUCAUCUAGAAGUAUAUUGCCCAGUUUUAGGUCCAGAUGGUAAAAUGGUUUUUCCAAU